AACGAACGCUGGCGGCAGGCCUAACACAUGCAAGUCGAGCGCGCCUUCGGGUGAGCGGCGGACGGGUUAGUAACGCGUGGGAACGUGCCCUUCUCUACGGAAUAGCCUCUGGAAACGGAGAGUAAUACCGUAUACGCCCUUUGGGGGAAAGAUUUAUCGGAGAAGGAUCGGCCCGCGUUAGAUUAGGUAGUUGGUGGGGUAACGGCCUACCAAGCCUACGAUCUAUAGCUGGUUUUAGAGGAUGAUCAGCAACACUGGGACUGAGACACGGCCCAGACUCCUACGGGAGGCAGCAGUGGGGAAUCUUAGACAAUGGGGGCAACCCUGAUCUAGCCAUGCCGCGUGAGUGAUGAAGGCCUCUGGGCUGUAAACCUCUUUUAUCAAGGAAGAAGAUCUGACGGUACUUGAUGAAUAAGCCACGGCUAAUUCCGUG
rnacentral:rRNA from 1 species